rnacentral:rRNA from 1 species
UACGAAGGGGGCUAGCGUUGUUCGGAAUUACUGGGCGUAAAGCGUGCGCAGGCGGCUUCUCAAGUCAGGGGUGAAAGCCCAGAGCUCAACUCUGGAACUGCCUUUGAGACUGAGAAGCUUGAGUACGGGAGAGGUGAGUGGAAUUCCCAGUGUAGAGGUGUAAAUUCGUAGAUAUUGGGAAGAACACCGGUGGCGAAGGCGGCAUCCUGGACUGGUACUGACGCUCAGGAGCGAAAGCGUGGGGAGCGAUCCGG